CCUACGGGCGGCUUCAGUGGGGAAUAUUGGACAAUGGGGGCAACCCUGAUCCAGCCAUGCCGCGUGUGUGAAGAAGGCCCUCGGGUUGUAAAGCACUUUCAGUGAGGAAGAACGCCUGGUGGUUAAUACCCAUCAGGAAAGACAUCACUCACAGAAGAAGCACCGGCUAACUCCGUGCCAGCAGCCGCGGUAAUACGGAGGGUGCGAGCGUUAAUCGGAAUUACUGGGCGUAAAGCGCGCGUAGGUGGCUUGAUAAGCCGGUUGUGAAAGCCCCGGGCUCAACCUGGGAACGGCAUCCGGAACUGUCAAGCUAGAGUGCAGGAGAGGAAGGUAGAAUUCCCGGUGUAGCGGUGAAAUGCGUAGAGAUCGGGAGGAAUACCAGUGGCGAAGGCGGCCUUCUGGACUGACACUGACACUGAGGUGCGAAAGCGUGGGUAGCAAACAGGAUUAGAUACCCUGGUAGUC
rnacentral:rRNA from 1 species